rnacentral:rRNA from 1 species
GACGAACGCUGGCGGCGUGCUUAACACAUGCAAGUCGAACGGAAAGGCCCUGCUUUCGUGGGGUGCUCGCGUGGCGAACGGGUGAGUAACCCGUGAGUAACCUGCCCUUGACUUUGGGAUAACUUCAGGAAACUGGGGCUAAUACCGGAUAGGAGCUCCUGCUGCAUGGUGGGGGUUGGAAAGUUUCGGCGGAUGGGGAUGGACUCGCGGCUUAUCAGCUUGUUGGUGGGGUAGUGGCUUACCAAGGCUUUGACGGGUAGCCGGCCUGAGAGGGUGACCGGCCACAUUGGGACUAAGAUACGGCCCAGACUCCUACGGGAGGCAGCGGUGGGGAAUAUUGCACAAUGGGCGGAAGCCUGAUGCAGCAACGCCGCGUGCGGGAUGACGGCCUUCGGGUGGUAAACCGCUUUCGCCUGUGACGAAGCGUGAGUGACGGUAAUGGGUAAAGAAGCACCGGCUAACUACGUG